CCUUCGAUAGCUCAGUUGGUAGAGCGGUGGACUGUAGUUGGUAAUGACGAUCAUAAGAGAUAUCCAUAGGUCGCUGGUUCAAAUCCGGCUCGAAGGA
rnacentral:tRNA from 1 species